UCACGAUUCAUAUUGGACGCAUGCAUGUGAUGUGGAUGAAAUGAACAGAAUACUCAGGGAAAAGUUUGUUGAGCUUUACGAAAAACCAAUCCUGGAGAAUUUGAUGGAGAGCUUUCAGCAAUCUUUUCCGACAUUAUCCUUUCCCUCUUUACCUGAACGAGGAGACUUUGAUCUGCAGGAUGUGUUAGAAUCACCAUAUUUCUUCAACUGAUCAAAUGCAGGGGCUUUUCUUUAUGUUGCACUAGCAUGACUCAACAUUUGUAGGUGUCAGCCUGUUUGCACAAGUGAGCAUGAUAAGGAAAGCCCACAAUCUGACAAGAAUUUCAUGGUGGAGACUAGCUAUGUAUAUAUUUUUAAAGACACUCUCAAAGAUCUCCAGUGGGUUGCUCUUAAAAAAAAAAAAAAAGAAAGAAAGAUCUCCAGCGGCUAUGAUCUCUACUUCACUAAGAGCCUCGAGUGACGUUGUGUAGCAAGCAUGAAAUUUUAGUUCUGGAGUCGUAAGUUAUCAGUCCUGGGUACA
rnacentral:misc_RNA from 1 species